rnacentral:lncRNA from 1 species
AAAAUAAAUAAAAUUUAAGAUUAAAUGUUCAUAAUAAAAGGUUCAUUGCAAAUCAUAGCACAAAAUAAUUUAGCCUAACAUAAUGUGAAAAUUAAACAAAGAAAAGUGAAAAGACGUCACCAAAAAUCGACCGAACGUGAUCAAUUCCUCAAAUUCGUAUUUUAGCCACCGACUUCCUUCAAUUUUCUGCUCCUAUGGUCACUGCCUAUAUCUUAAUUCCAGCCACCAUUUUUGUUCGUGUAAUUUCUCCAAUUUUUCCCGUUUCCUGUAUGCGCGUCUCUCUGUAUAUAUAAGACAGCACCCCCUUUCUUUAUUUCCAGCAGCCAACAAUUGUUAUGUAAAUUUCUGAUUUCUUGUUUCUGUCCGUGUAUCUUUCAUAUACCUGAACAAUUAAGCCCAUGUGUUGUAGACAAAUUAGGAGUCCAAGUCACAUUGAAUUUUGAUUCCCAAACAAGUCCAAUUGAGGUCAAUGUUUUUAUUUCCACUUCCGGCAGAUUCUCCAAGUGCACUCAAGGCCCAAUUUCAAUGUCAAUAUACAAUUUAUCUUCCAAGCCAUGCAAUCUUUCAAGUAAUGCAAUUUUAGACCUUGGAUUUUCGUUUUCUUCCGUUUUGGUCCUUUUCCAUUCACUUUCUCUUGAAUUCUGCCUUAUUCAUCAACAUUGUCCUACAAAAUGAAAUUAUAUAGAAUUAAGCUAUAUCCAAACAUUUUCAUCAACAAUUAGUCAUGUUUUGUAAACCAAAUAAGUGGGUAGAAACGUACUUAUCAUCUACCAACGAAGCUUUGAGCUAAAGGCACGACCUACCUACUAUGAUAGCCAUAUACGAUCAAAGUAAGAUAGUGAGUACAGAUUUUGUUCACAGAUUCAUCACUUGGUGUAAGAGUGAAAGGUGAUGUCUGAUUUUCAUAAACGGUGUCAGAGUAGGUGGAUGUUUUUUUUUUUUUUUUGAUAUCCAUGUAUCCCAGCAUAAACUAGACUAAAUCCUGGACCCCCAAGAUCCUUGCCCCUAGAACCUUGGAGGGGGUAAAUAGCGGGUUAUGCCUCAAUUGGAUCACAGAUUCCCCCCCACCCCCUGUACACUUCUGCGCGCAAGAGAUUCUCCUCCAAAGUGAUUGCUCCAUACCAAAUAAAUUUGGCCGCAGGUUCCCACCAAGAUUCGAACCUCCACCCUGCUACUGUAAGUAAUACAAAUGUUGAUUGAUCCACCAGUUGAGCUAUGCCCCGAGGGGCAAAAGGUGGAUGUUAACCAGAUGGAGCAGUAGAUAGAGAGAGACCACGGAGAGAGAGAAUAUCCUAUAUAUUUCGGGUCAAAUAUUUGGUGUGGAAUCUGGGUGUGGGGUGGUGAUGGAGAUGGGGUGGGAUGCACCUAUAUUUUGAAAGAAAAAUCUUUGUACUUGAUUAUUGAAAUGAGAAGUUAAAAAAUGGGGAGAGGGUGUAAUUUCCUCUUACUCAAAAACAAGCUUUCUGACAAGAUUUGUAGUUUUCAAACUGUAUACUUACAAAAUAGAAGUACUGGCGAUGCAGAUCUGGUCAUGAUACUAGUGGUAGUCUUGUUUUAGCAAGGGUCAAGUGAACGUGUUUAGCUUGGGUCUUGGAGAUAGUGGUAAUCGAUUGAAUUUGGUCGAGAUGGUAGUGUCAUGUGAUCAGACUUGGUGGAGAUGAAGGUCGAAUGCGAUCAGAUAUGGUGGGCUUAGUGGUGGAGCAGAACAAGAUAUGGCUCAUUCUAUUCUUAGUAAUCAUUGGAUUGACUCAGUGCUAUAAUCGAAAUCUGGAAGGAAAAAUCUGGAAUGAAAUACUU